rnacentral:lncRNA from 1 species
AUCAAUCUGGCAGCCUCAAGACCCCAGACCUCUCAAGUCAUCCAUCUUAAAGUGUGGAUUGGUGUAUGGAAGCUCAAAGUGCAGCAGAAAAUUCAAAAUUUCAUAUGGAAGCUUAUGCACAAUGUUAUCCCUAUCUUAGACAACCUUUUCAAGAAAGGUAUUCCAUUGGAUCAUUCUUGUCCUAUCUGCAAAGAAGGUAUGGAAACUAUUGAGCAUUCUCUUUUUUGGUGCAAUCAUGCAUGUGCAAAAGAUUUCAAUGCUGGCAGAAGAUCUGCUCUGAAUCAUUCACAUAGGAGCUUGUUUUGGGUGAAUCCUGAUGUCGUUAAGAUAAAUAUUGAUGUGGCAUGGAAAGAGAACUCUCCUUUUAGGAUGAUCGCUUCUCUGGCUAGAAACCAUUCUGGGUUGGUGAUCUGUGGUUCUGUUAAGAGAAUCCAAGCUUCUUCCCCGCUUGCAGGUGAGGCAAAAGCUUUACUAGAAGCUUGUCUUUUGGCUCGUGCUCUGGAAGUCCCCAUAGUCAUUUUGGAGACGGAUAGCUCCUUACUGUUUGCUGCUCUUAAUAAUCCUCGACAUUAAUCUGGCCAUAAGAGAGUUUGGAGUAGAAAGCAACUUCGUCCUUGUUUUGUCAGGAGAGCUCUAUUAAAAUAUUGAGUAUCUUCGAACUCUAAGCCUCUUUUAAAUUUAGCAUCACACAUCCUUGACCAUCACACCCAAUUAAUACAUCUUCUUGGAUCUAUCAUUCACAUUCCACCGCAACCUUGCCAUCAUGGAAUUAAUGGAAUUGCAAAGUUAAAUAGGCAGUUUGAAGCAUGGUAUUGUAAACAUGGGAGAGCAAUAGCAACUGCUUUUAGAAAACUUCCUUCCCUCCUUUUGAAAGCAGCUUCUCCGACCAUCAUGUAGUUAUGACGAGCUUAAUAGGUAAAAUAUAGUAAAACCCGCCG